AUAUAUUAAGCUGGCAUGCUUCUGGAAACACGGAGCCUUCCAUGCUUCCAAGUCGUCUUCGAUGUUGAGACUUUCGAAUCGAUGACACUACAACAGAAUUAGGUUAUAGGGACACAUGUUUGGGACACUUUUAUGUAAGUGUCCCAUUUAUACCAAAACUUUUAAAAAAAAUCUACUAAUGUCUAAAUAUAAAGUCUAAUCCAACAAAAAAUAAAAAGUUACUCUACUCAACCUACCCCACCCAGCCCAUUCGGCCCAAUUACAAACAAAAAAGAAAAAGAAAAGAAAAAUCGAUUACCAUUUUCCCUUCUCCCCUCACUCAAUCGACUGAAAUCCUAGACGAAGGUCCCUUCCUCUCGUCCUCCUCCACCACCGCAGCCAACGAGGUAGAGUUUCGGCGGUUGCUAAAUUCUUAAAUAAAUGUUGGUAAAUUAGCAGCACUUUUUUAUGUUAUAGCGACACUCUUUAAUUAUCACUAUAUAUCUAGCGACCCCACAUAUAGCAACACUUUUUAAAAGUAUUGGUAAUUUAGCCAGCAGCACUUUUUUUGACCAGUACCGAUAUUUAAAAGUGUCGCUAUAGACCAUUUUUGUUGUAGUGUGAUUGGCUCCGUUAAACUUGAUCUAGAGUAUUUGAAGCAUCUAGAAAAUAAACUUUAUAAUUUUUCGAUAUCAUUUGCCUAGUGAUCGAAGGGGCUCAAAAUCAAUAAUUUUAAUGACCAUGCAUGGUGAGCCGUUUCCAAGUUUAACGGUAUAGAAAUAUCAAAAUCACGUGAAAUUUUAAUAGAAAAUUCUUUAUACUAUAUAAAACAAGAUCAAUAUUUUUUAUCUAAAAUUUUAAUGUCAUAUCAUCAUGUUUUGUAAGAUUUUUAUUUUUAGCCGUUGAUUUUGAGCCACUUCGAUUACUAGGCAAAUGAUAUCAAAAAAUCACAAAAAUUAUUUUCUAGAUACUUAAAAUACUCUAAAUCAAGUCUAAUGGAGCUGAUCAUCAAUUCGAAAGUCCCAACAUCGAAAACGACUUGAAAGCACGGAGCGCUCUAUACUUUCAGAAGCAUACCAUACGCACUCUAUAUAUUUAUAUAUAGAGAGUCCGGUUGGGAUACUGUUGAUAGUACCAAUAAUUUGAUGCUAUUAAGUUUUCUAUCGUUAGAUUUAACAUUAUUUUUACCUGUUAGAUUAUACUAUUCAACCAACCACUCACUCAACCCU
rnacentral:lncRNA from 1 species